rnacentral:tRNA from 1 species
AAGGGAGACCUAAUUCCAGUAGGAGACGAAAAAAAAGUAGUCCCUACCAAGAAUCAAUCCCAAAAGGUCGGAGCGAGGCAAAAUUGGCUUUCAAACUAGGUUCUGGGUUCACACAAGACCUGAAUCAGGAACAAGGGCUAUUAGCUCAGGUGGUUAGAGCGCACCCCUGAUAAGGGUGAGGUCCCUGGUUCGAGUCCAGGAUGGCCCACCUGCACAGGUGGAAGAAAGAAAAGAAGCUCCGAAUCAGCACCUUAUCUUACUUAUAUAGUAAGAGAGAAUGCUGGCUCUGAGUACAGAGUCCAGAGGAACCUUGAAAACUGCAUAGAGCUAGGUGAAAAAGCCAAAAAAGAAGACCGCAAGGUCAAGCUAAUAAGGGCUAACGGUGGAUACCUAGGCAC